GGACGUCCCUGGUGUUGAGAUCGCAGGUUCCGCAGCUGCAAGGACGAAAAACAGACAGUCAAAGAGAACACCAAGCCUUGUGUGGAGAUCCCAUAUGGCAGUCAGAACUGUCGAAGUAUUAUGUGAAAAAGCUGGAAGAUGAAACAAGUUCACUGCUUCAUCACCUACCAGGUGCCAACAUAAUAAAAUUCGGUCACAGCAAACUGUACUGGGGUGGCUGGACGGUCGGCUAUGUUGGCAUAGGCAACACAACCCUCCAGCAACCACAUGGCACAGCACCGUUAUUGCUUUUGUUGCAUUAAAACAUUUGUAGUAUUAUUUA